UACGUAGGGGGCUAGCGUUGUCCGGAAUCAUUGGGCGUAAAGAGCGCGUAGGCGGCCAGAUAAGUCCGGUGUGAAAGUCACAGGCUCAACCUGUGAAUGCCGCUGGAAACUGUCUGGCUAGAGUCCGGGAGGGGCGAGUGGAAUUCCCGGUGUAGCGGUGAAAUGCGCAGAUAUUGGGAAGAACACCCGUGGCGAAGGCGGUUCUCUGGGACGGUACUGACGCUGAGACGCGAAAGCGUGGGGAGCGAACAGG
rnacentral:rRNA from 1 species